GCUCAGGACGAACGCUGGCGGCGCGCCUAACACAUGCAAGUCGAACGAGCGAGAGAGAGCUUGCUUUCUCGAGCGAGUGGCGAACGGGUGAGUAACGCGUGAGGAACCUGCCUCAAAGAGGGGGACAACAGUUGGAAACGACUGCUAAUACCGCAUAAGCCCACGGGUCGGCAUCGACCAGAGGGAAAAGGAGUAAUCCGCUUUGAGAUGGCCUCGCGUCCGAUUAGCUAGUUGGUGAGGUAAUGGCCCACCAAGGCAACGAUCGGUAGCCGGACUGAGAGGUUGAAUGGCCACAUUGGGACUGAGACACGGCCCAGACUCCUACGGGAGGCAGCAGUA
rnacentral:rRNA from 1 species